AGAGCGAACGCUGGCGGCAGGCCUAACACAUGCAAGUCGAGCGCCCAGCAAUGGGAGCGGCAGACGGGAUAGUAACACGUGGGAACGUACCUUUCAGUUCGGAACAACCCAGGGAAACUUGGGCUAAUACCGAAUACGCCCGUAAGGGGAAAGAUUUAUCGCUGAAAGAUCGGCCCGCGUCUGAUUAGCUAGUUGGUGGGGUAAUGGCCCACCAAGGCGACGAUCAGUAGCUGGUCUGAGAGGAUGAUCAGCAUCACUGGGACUGAGACACGGCCCAGACUCCUACGGGAGGCAGCAGUGGGGAAUAUUGGACAAUGGGCGCAAGCCUGAUCCAGCCAUGCCGCGUGGAUGAUGAAGGCCCUAGGGUUGUAAAGUCCUUUCGGCGGGGAAGAUAAUGACGGUACCCGCGAGAAGAACGCCCCGGCUAACGUUCGUGCCAGCAGCCGC
rnacentral:rRNA from 1 species